rnacentral:lncRNA from 1 species
GCUGGACUGUUCUUGUGAGGUUGGAGGGAGACUCCAUUUCCACAUCCCUCAGAAGCCUGCGGCCAGAGAUAUGAGGAUCGGAUCACAGAGGCCCUCUAGAGAGCCACAGCCUCUUCUCUAGCCGCUGGGCAGCCCGAGCAUGUGGCGUCACCUCUCUGGGCCAGUUUUCCCCUUCACAGCUUGGAUUCUGUCCUAAAUGAAAAACCAAGUAGGAGGCCAGGUCAUGCCUGAACCAGCCUGUGAGAGAGACCCAUGUUCAAGUGAAAGCAAGGCCGGAGCUGGAGAACUGGCGGCUCAGCAGCUAGGAGCACCUGCUGCUCUUGCAGAGAGCCUAGGUUCAGUUCCCGACAUCCACACGGCACCCUCACAAUCAUCUGUGACUCAGCUCCAGCAGAGCUGACCCCCUCUAAGCUGUGCAGGCAGAAGGUAUAUAUGCAGUGCACAUACAUGCAAGCAAACACACACACACAAUAUAAA